rnacentral:rRNA from 1 species
UGUGCUGCUAGGGUGGUCUCAACCUGGGUUCAUUCCCCAGCUAAUAAAGUUCGAUUCUUUGUAGCGGCUCCGAGUAUAUAUUAUUAACAAAAUAAUAUAGAAAUGUUUUUCAAAAAAAAAAGCUAAUAAAACCAAAUUUUGAUAGAAAAUAAGUACCGUGAGGGAAAGGUGAAAAGAAAUUUGUAGAAUGUUUAAAAGAUUCUGAAAUCUAGUGCAGUGAAACAGUUAAAGCGUGUUGUUUUAACGUACCUUUUGUAUAAUGGGCCAACUAGUUUAUAAAAUUAGCGAGCUUAUCAAAUCGCGUAAUGAAAAUGUUAUAGUUAAUUUUAUAAGACCCGAAGUCAAGUGAUCUAAUCAUGGCUAGGUAGAAGAUCGAACCCAUAAAUGUUGCAAAAUUUCGGGAGAAGCUGUGAUUAGGGGUGAAAGGCUAAUCAAACUUGACGAUAGCUGGUUUUUCGCGAAAUCUAUCUACGUAGAGUAUUUUUUUUCUUUUGUGCGGGGUAGUGUAAUCUUUUCUUAAGAAGAUCUGAUCUUUUUUCGUGAAGAAUCUUCCAAUACGCAUUAAAAUAAUAAAUAAAACGGACUGAGAGUGCAAAGAUUCUUGGUCGAGAGGGAAACAGCCCAGACCGUACGAUAAAGUGCAUAAACAAUGCGAAGUAAAAGAAUUGUUUUUAAAAAAAUAUCGGGAGGUAGGCUUAGAAUCAGCCAGCCUUUAAAGAAAGCGUAACAGCUCACCAAUAGCUACGAUUAUUUGAACAAACAUCGUAUUAAAAAUAAUUUUUAAAUUAAAGCGCUAAGCAUUGUACUGAAGCGGCGGGUAACUCGGUAGCGAAACGUUUUGUAGGUUGUUGAAGGUUUAUUGAGAAAUAGGCUGGAGAUAUCAAAAUUGAUAAUGUUGGCAUGAGUAAUAGACAAAAUGUUCAAAUCAUUUUUGUUUGAUAAGUUAGGGUUGCUUUGUUUUGAUCAUCUUACAAAGUGUGAUCCGGUCUCUAAUUUUUUAAAUAGAUAUUUUUAAAGAUGAGCUCUGUAUUUUUUUCUGGCCUCCUUUGUGUUCUUUUUAAUUUUUUUAGAAGAGUGCGUGGAGGCGGACUGGAAACAUUUUACAUGGUGUACCGUACUAACACUAACGCAAGUACUUUAGUCGAGCAGAUGACGACAAAAGAGCUAAUGAUAUUGAAGGAACUCGGCAAAAUUACUUUGUAACUUCGGGAUAAAAAGUGCGUCAGCAAACAAAAAAAUGGGGGGUAGCGACUGUUUACUAAAAACAUAAGAUUUUGCAAAAUUUAAUUAUGAUGUAUAAAAUCUGACUCCUGCCCGGUGUUGUCAUGCAAAGUUUUAACGGUUAGCGCUGUUGAUAACAAGCAGCAAUAAACGGCGGCCAUAACUCUGAUGGUCCUAAGGUAGCAAAAUCCCUUGACGGGUAAGUUCCGUCCUGCACGAAUGGAGUAACGACUGCCCUACUGUCUCCAAUAUCAGCUCUAUGAAAUUGAAUUUGCUGUGAAGAUGCAGCUUUUUACAACUAGACGGAAAGACCCUAUGCACCUUUACUGAUGCUAGGAACUAAAGGGAUAUACUGGAGAUAAAUUAAGGUAGGAGUUAAAUCGCAAUUGAAAAACUACUUCUCUUUUACGUCUCUUCAUAAAAAUGACUAGGUUAUUUUUACUUUUCUGGCUGUUAGUUUAACUGGGGCGGUUGCCUCCUAAAAAGUAACGGAGGUGAGCAUAAAGUUACGCUUUGUGAGGAAUUUUUCUUUGCAAAAUGAGUUAAUAAAACUGCGUAAUUUGAUUAAAUUACAAACUAGUAAUUUAGGGGCUAAUUGCCUGCUAUAAUGAUCCGGUGUUUUUUUUUGAAUAAGACAUCGCUCAACGAAUAAAAGGUACGCUAGGGAUAACAGGCUUAUAAAUUCUGAGAGUUCCUAUUAAAGAAUUUGUUUGGCACCUCGAUGUCGGCUCAUCACAUCUUGGUGGUGCAGAAUCUGCCAAGGGUUUGGCUGUUCGCCAAUUAAAGUGGUACGUGAGCUGGGUUUAAAACGUUGUGAGACAGUUUGGUCCCUAUCUGUUGUAGAAUUAAGAAACGAGGCUGAGAUCGACGCCAGUACGAGAGGACCGACUAGAACUAGCCUCUGGUUCGGGAUCUACUUUAAAUAAAGGUAUAGAUGCUAUGCUAAGCUGGAUAAGCUAAUUUUUUAAUUAAAAUUUUUUAGCUUAAAGAAUUAGAAGCUUUUUAGCAACUCGUUUCUAAUAGUAUUUUAGAAGACUACUAAGUUAAUUUGAAGGUAGCUGUUAUAGGGCCCUUAACGGGCGUACCAGCUCCCCUUAAAAAAAUACUAAGACUCUUAUUAUUAUUAUAU